AAGCGUGUGCAUGACGAUUAUAAAAAGCCAUCAUCAAUGUAGCCACGAUACCACGAGUCACCAUGACAACAGUAAAUUAAAGAGCAAGCUAUUUCCCUGCCAUGGAGUUGGAGGUCCUUCUGCAGGAGAAGGAGAGAGCGACUGCAGACUUCACCCAGUCAGACUUCAGACCCAGACUGGGUAAAAAUUGCUGCCCAAGUCAACGCAAGGGGAGAUCCGGCGACAGCAGAGGUGCUGAGCGAGGCGAGGAGGCUGGAGCCUGUCGUGUGCUGCUGUUGAGCAUAAAAUAAAGACCGUAUAAAUGGAACCGACUGCAUCUUCGCUAAUAAAUUUACGGAUCAUGGA